rnacentral:misc_RNA from 1 species
GCGCAAACAACUGUCAGCUCCUUUUUAAAUGUAUUAGCAGAGCAGUGUUAGGACUGGCCUCAGUUUGAUAAGAAGUUAUCUAUGCUGUCGCUGGGUUUUCCUCUUUGUGCUUAGCUUCAAACUGUCUAUGGACUGUCUCUCAAGGCAAUAAAUCUUUAUUGAUUGACCUCAAAUCAGGUAGGACUACCCGCUGAACUUAA